rnacentral:rRNA from 1 species
GCACAAGCGGUGGAGCAUGUGGUUAAUUCGACGCAACGCGAAGAACCUUACCAGGGCUUGACAUCCCCUGACCGCGUAUGAAAGUACGUUUUCACCCUCGGGUGACAGGGAGACAGGUGGUGCAUGGGUUGUCGUCAGCUCGUGUCGUGAGAUGUUGGGUUAAGUCCCGCAACGAGCGCAACCCCUACGUUUAGUUGCUAACAGGUGAAGCUGAGCACUCUAGACGAACUGCCGUUGACAAAACGGAGGAAGGUGGGAUGACGUCAAAUCAUCAUGCCCCUUAUGUUCUGGGCUACACACGUGCUACAAUGGCCGGUACAGACGGAGGCGAAGCCGCGAGGCGGAGCAAAUCCGAAAAAGCCGGUCUCAGUUCGGAUUGCAGGCUGCAAUUCGCCUGCAUGAAGUCGGAAUCGCUAGUAAUCGCAGGUCAGCAUACUGCGGUCGAAUACGUUCCCGGGCCUU